GAUGAACGCUGGCGGCGUGCCUAAUACAUGCAAGUCGAGCGAACGGACGAGAAGCUUGCUUCUCUGAUGUUAGCGGCGGACGGGUGAGUAACACGUGGAUAACCUACCUAUAAGACUGGGAUAACUUCGGGAAACCGGAGCUAAUACCGGAUAAUAUUUUGAACCGCAUGGUUCAAAAGUGAAAGACGGUCUUGCUGUCACUUAUAGAUGGAUCCGCGCUGCAUUAGCUAGUUGGUAAGGUAACGGCUUACCAAGGCAACGAUGCAUAGCCGACCUGAGAGGGGGUUAGCGCCCACUGGGGAUGUGACACGGGCCCGACACCCCCGGGGGGCGCAGGGUGGGGAACUUCCCCACUGGGCGAAAGCCCGACGGGGCCCCGCCGCGUGUGGGAGAAGGGGCCCCUGGUCGUGAAACUCUUUUUUUUGGGGAAAAAACAUGUGUAAAUAACUCUGCGCACCUUUAGGGGACCUAAACAAAAAGCCCCGCCGAAAUCUGU
rnacentral:rRNA from 1 species